CGGGUGUGUUGAGACUGCACGAGAAUGACUUUAUUUUGGUCUGUAACGAGCUUGCUCUCUUUUCUAAAACUUAUCUCUGGGCGGUGAACAGAAGACCGCGCGCUCCCGUUAAGCCUUUCGUGCCCCGGAAAGGGGAGAGCAGAAAAGUCGUGGGACUGACAUCACUAAAAUACUUCUGACACUUUCAGGGAAGCCAUACUUGAAGUCUGAAUGAGACGUUACAAAAGAGAAACAGCAGGCAGUAUAAACCCAGGUGGACAACUUUGAGGACGUUUGGCAGCACAAUAUGAAGAUUGCUGUUGUUCGUGCUUCCUACGCUGAAGAUCCUGUAGAUGUCUCUCUUAUUCUUGACGGCAAGGAGGUUGUGACUGGAUGUGGAAAUACUGCAAAGGCAUGUACACUGCUAAUGGGUCUGAUAUAUUCCCUCAAUCUUGCUUAUCCUCCAACACUGCGUUACACUUUUAAAGUGUUCCAGAAGCUUUUCUUAGAUUUAGACGCAAUAAAGCUAUCCCCCAAAGUACAAACUCUGAAAAUGAAGUUGCUGUCCAAAACUUAAAAGAUGACAUUUUAUUCAGCUUUGUUCAGCUUGGUAUGCCAUUGCCAUUAUAGCAGUUUAUGCUAUAAAGUUGUAUUGUUAUUGUGUAACUCUUGCACAUGCUUCAAAGUCGUUAAUUGUUCAUGAAUGUUAAUACAGCUGCAAAACUUAUGCAGCCAUUUCUCACAGCUGUGCCUUCAGAAAGGACUUUUAGUUUAUAAUAGUAUGACAACAGGGCUGCACAGUGGCGUAGUGGUUAGCACUUUCGCCUUGCAGUAAGAAGGUCCCUGGUUCGCGUCCCGGCUUUCCCGGGAUCUUUCUGCAUGGAGUUUGCAUGUUCUCCCUGUGCAUGCGUGGGUUUUCUCCAGGUACUCCGGCUUCCUCCCACAGUCCAAAAAUAUGCUGAGGUUAAUUGAUUAUUCUAAAUUGCCCGUAGGUGUGAAUGUGUGAGUGCUUGUUUGUCUAUAUAUGUAGCCCUGCGACAGACUGGCGACCUGUCUAGGGUGUCCCCUGCCUUCGCCCGAGUCAGCUGGGAUAGACUCCAGCACCCACUGCGACCCUAGUGAGGAUUAAGCGGUGUAUAGAUAAUGGAUGGAUGGAUGGAUGGAUAG